UUGCGCAAUCUUCUUGUCUUUGUUCGCAUGCUAUUCGUGGACACAAGCACACGGUGGUUGGACGGAGCGUGUCAGACAUCGUCGACGGUCGGUUCUCCCGUUUCUAGAACACGGACUGACGUCCUACUGUCAGCAGUCUCUUUGUCUCCGUCACCUAUAACGACAGGACAGACGGAGGUGUCGCUGGAAGACGACAGAUUGCGUGCUUUGUGGACGGAUAACUUGCCCACUACCACUAUGGAUUGUUCAGUGGCUUCUUCAGAGAUGUCUGACAAGGGCAGCGCAAUGGGAGAAACGGAAAAAAUUUCAUACGGACAGUGAAUGGUUGGGUACAUACAUUGAAGAUAUUGAUGAGUUUGGAUCAUGUGUUGACUCGUAUGAUCCCAUUGUUCCAAAGGAGCGACAUCCUUAUUUGGAGCAAUACUUCGAACAACAGCUGCUGCUUACUCUCUCUUGUAUCUACCAUUCUCACACUUCGUUGAAUUGUUUCAACGACCACAAGCUCAUCGUGGAUCAUUUGGAAUGCGACAAAUGAAUGCAUUGAACGUCUAGAAAAGUGACAAGACGAGCCACCCAAGUACUACUACAAACAGGUAUUGAGCAUGUCGAAGAUUGGGAGAAAGCACAACAAGUGGAAACCGAAUCAAUGCAGACGAUGCGGUGAAAGUGGUCUCUUUGGUAAUGAACAGAUGAUCGCAACGUUCCAAAGGAGCGACAUCCUUAUUUGGAGCAAUACUUCGAACAACAGCUGCUGCUUACUCUCUCUUGUAUCUACCAUUCUCACACUUCUUUGAAUUGUUUCAACGACCACAAGCUCAUCGUGGAUCAUUUGGAAUGCGACAAAUGAAUGCAUUGAACGUCUAGAAAAGUGACAAGACGAGCCACCCAAGUACUACUACAAACAGGUAUUGAGCAUGUCGAAGGGUGGGAGAAAGCACAACAAGUGGAAACCGAAUCAAUGCAGACGAUGUGGUGAAAGUGGUCUCUUCGAUAAUGAACAGCUGCCAUACCUUCAGUGACUGUGUUCAACAAGAAUGGAUUGACCAACAAAUUUUUUUGUUCUCAAAUUUCCAACAAUCCCAACAACAUAGUCAAGAUCUUGAUGCUUGCUCUUAACUCCCAACCUGUAGCAAUGACGGACUUUCUAUUUUAAAUAGCAGUACCAAAGGCAUUCCAGUUGAACAUGCAGUCACCAUUCACCAUUCAGGAAUGUAAUUUCGUCUUCUAAUUUUGGCAGCAUGACGCAAAUUAUUCACGUUGCGCAUCCUCAUCAGCAACAGUUGAGGAUAAGACUGCGGAUUUCAUACAGUGUGGAUGGAUCCUCUGUGACUGAACAAGGUGAGAUUGGCGAAUUUCCACCAGAAGUUUCUUAGUAUUGUGAGUAAGGGUGACUGUUAGUUUAUACUGCUAGUCGAUCAUCUUGCUUGUUGUGUGACUGUUGUUGUGUUUUGAGGUCAAUUUGUUGUAGAUUAUUGGGUAGAUGGUACUUGUAGCUUGGCAGCUGUUGUCAAUAAAGUGUCAAUAAAGU